AAACCAACAGGGAUUGCCUUAGUAGCGGCGAGUGAAGCGGCAAAAGCUCAAAUUUGAAAUCUGGCACCUUCGGUGUCCGAGUUGUAAUUUGAAGAUUGUAACCUUGGGGUUGGCUCUUGUCUAUGUUUCUUGGAACAGGACGUCACAGAGGGUGAGAAUCCCGUGCGAUGAGAUGCCCAAUCCUAUGUAAGGUGCUUUCGAAGAGUCGAGUUGUUUGGGAAUGCAGCUCUAAGUGGGUGGUAAAUUCCAUCUAAAGCUAAAUAUUGGCGAGAGACCGAUAGCGAACAAGUACAGUGAUGGAAAGAUGAAAAGAACUUUGAAAAGAGAGUGAAAAAGUACGUGAAAUUGUUGAAAGGGAAGGGUUUGAGAUCAGACUCGAUAUUUUGUGAGCCUUGCCUUCGUGGCGGGGUGACCCGCAGCUUAUCGGGCCAGCAUCGGUUUGGGCGGUAGGAUAAUGGCGUAGGAAUGUGACUUUGCUUCGGUGAAGUGUUAUAGCCUGCGUUGAUGCUGCCUGCCUAGACCGAGGACUGCGAUUUUAUCAAGGAUGCUGGCAUAAUGAUCCCAAACCGCCCGUCUUGAAACACGGACAA
rnacentral:rRNA from 1 species